rnacentral:rRNA from 1 species
ACCGUAUAGGGGAGCCGUAGAGAAAUCGAGUCUUAAUAGGGCGUUUAGUUGCUGGGUAUAGACCCGAAACCAGGCGAUCUAUCCAUGAGCAGGUUGAAGGUUGGGUAACACUAACUGGAGGACCGAACCCACUGUCGUUGAAAAGCCAGGGGAUGACUUGUGGAUAGGGGUGAAAGGCUAAUCAAGCCUGGUGAUAGCUGGUUCUCCCCGAAAGCUAUUUAGGUAGCGCCUCGGACGAAUACCAUAGGGGGUAGAGCACUGUUUCGGCUAGGGGGUCAUCCCGACUUACCAAACCGAUGCAAACUCCGAAUACCUAUGAGUACUAUCCGGGAGACAGACUGCGGGUGCUAACGUCCGUAGUCAAGAGGAAAACAAUCCAGACCGCCAGCUAAGGCCCCAAAAUCAUAGUUAAGUGGGAAACGAUGUGGGAAGGCAUAGACAGCUAGGAGGUUGGCUUAGAAGCAGCCACCCUUUAAAGAAAGCGUAAUAGCUCACUAGUCGAGUCGGCCUGCGCGGAAGAUGUAACGGGGCUAAAACUAUGUGCCGAAGCUGCGGAUGUAUACUUUGUAUACGUGGUAGGGGAGCGUUCUGUAAGCCGAUGAAGGUGUGUUGAGAAGCAUGCUGGAGGUAUCAGAAGUGCGAAUGCUGACGUGAGUAACGACAAAACGGGUGAAAAACCCGUUCGCCGAAAGACCAAGGGUUCCAGUCCAACGUUAAUCGGGGCUGGGUGAGUCGACCCCUAAGGCGAGGCCGAAAGGCGUAGUCGAUGGGAAAAUGGUUAAUAUUCCAUUACUUCUGUGUAAUGCGAUGAGAGGACGGAGAAGGCUAAAUCAGCCUGGCGUUGGUUGUCCAGGUGAAAGGAUGUAGGCAUGUAUCUUAGGCAAAUCCGGGGUACUCUAUGCUGAGAUCUGAUAGCAAGCUGUACUUGUACAGCGAAGUGGUUGAUGCCAUGCUUCCAGGAAAAGUCUCUAAGCUUCAGUUACACAGGAAUCGUACCCGAAACCGACACAGGUGGUCAGGUCGAGUAGACCAAGGCGCUUGAGAGAACUCUGCUGAAGGAACUAGGCAAAAUGGUACCGUAACUUCGGGAGAAGGUACGCUGUUGUUGGUGAUGGAACUCGCUUCCUGAGCUGACGACAGCCGCAGAAACCAGGCCGCUGCAACUGUUUAUUAAAAACAUAGCACUCUGCAAACACGAAAGUGGACGUAUAGGGUGUGAUGCCUGCCCGGUGCUGGAAGGUUAAUUGAUGGGGUUAGCGUAAGCGAAGCUCUUGAUCGAAGCCCCAGUAAACGGCGGCCGUAACUAUAACGGUCCUAAGGUAGCGAAAUUCCUUGUCGGGUAAGUUCCGACCUGCACGAAUGGCAUAAUGAUGGCGGCGCUGUCUCCAGCAGAGGCUCAGUGAAAUCGAAAUCGCUGUGAAGAUGCAGUGUACCCGCGGCUAGACGGAAAGACCCCGUGAACCUUUACUGCAGCUUGACACUGAACUUUGACCUUACUUGUGUAGGAUAGGUGGGAGGCUUUGAAGCUGGAACGCUAGUUCCAGUGGAGCCGUCCUUGAAAUACCACCCUGGUAAUGUUGAGGUUCUAACUCUGUCCCGUGAUCCGGGACGAGGACCGUGUCUGGUGGGUAGUUUGACUGGGGCGGUCUCCUCCUAAAGAGUAACGGAGGAGUACGAAGGUGCGCUCAGCGUGGUCGGAAAUCACGCGUAGAGUAUAAAGGCAAAAGCGCGCUUAACUGCGAGACCCACAAGUCGAGCAGGUACGAAAGUAGGUCUUAGUGAUCCGGUGGUUCUGUAUGGAAGGGCCAUCGCUCAACGGAUAAAAGGUACUCUGGGGAUAACAGGCUGAUACCGCCCAAGAGUUCAUAUCGACGGCGGUGUUUGGCACCUCGAUGUCGGCUCAUCUCAUCCUGGGGCUGAAGCAGGUCCCAAGGGUAUGGCUGUUCGCCAUUUAAAGAGGUACGCGAGCUGGGUUUAGAACGUCGUGAGACAGUUCGGUCCCUAUCUACCGUGGGCGCUGGAAAUUUGAGAGGAUCUGCUCCUAGUACGAGAGGACCAGAGUGGACGAACCUCUGGUGUACCGGUUGUGACGCCAGUCGCAUCGCCGGGUAGCUAUGUUCGGAAGGGAUAACCGCUGAAAGCAUCUAAGCGGGAAGCCUACCUCAAGAUAAGAUUUCCCUAGGACUUUAUGUCCUCUAAAGAGCCGUUCGAGACUAGGACGUUGAUAGGUUGGAUGUGGAAGCAUAGUGAUAUGUGAAGCUGACCAAUACUAAUUGCUCGUGAGGCUUGACU